AUAACAUUCAGUAUUUUAUCUAUUUCUUUAUAGUUAUCCAAACUGAAGCUAAAUAUUGUUAUGAUACGUAUUCCAUGGGUAAAAGACACGAGACCUGUGAAGAUGAUUCUGUAGAGACAUUUGCAAAAAUAAUCAGCAGUGUUGUCAUUCAUGUGGUAAUUGCAAUCCCGAUUUCAUUUUGUGUACGUAGGAUAUUUAGAAACUGGGGACAUUGAAGAGGCACAGACACUGAUGAAACGUGACUCUCCUCUAAUAACAAGCUGGACAUUAUUUGUGGUAGUAAUUCACAUCUUCGUGAUAUUUCAAGACUGAAUGGAGUUGCGUUAAAUCAGAAAUCUCUUGCUAAGUUGACCAUUGAACACUAUCAAAUUAACUUCAUUGCUAUAUACUUUCUUUUUAAGAUUAUAAGAAUCAAAUCUAA